CCUACGGGAGGCAGCAGUGGGGAAUAUUGCACAAUGGGCGAAAGCCUGAUGCAGCAACGCCGCGUGAAGGAAGAAGGGUUUCGGCUCGUAAACUUCUAUCAACAGGGACGAAAGAAAUGACGGUACCUGAAUAAGAAGCCCCGGCUAACUACGUGCCAGCAGCCGCGGUAAUACGGAGGGGGCAAGCGUUAUCCGGAUUUACUGGGUGUAAAGGGUGAGUAGGCGGCAUGGUAAGCCAGAUGUGAAAGCCUUGGGCUUAACCCGGGGAUUGCAUUUGGAACUAUCAGGCUAGAGUACAGGAGAGGAAAGCGGAAUUCAUGGUGUAGCGGUGAAAUGCGUAGAGAUUAGGAAGAACACCAGUGGCGAAGGCGGCUUUCUGGACUGAAACUGACGCUGAGGCACGAAAGCGUGGGGAGCGAACAGGAUUAGAUACCCGUGUAGUC
rnacentral:rRNA from 1 species